rnacentral:tRNA from 1 species
GGUCCGCUGGCUCAAUGGCAGAGCGUCUGACUACGGCCUGAUCUUGAGAAUCACUGAUGUCCUCAAGACUAAACCGUGCAAUCAGGAGGUUCCAGGUUCGACCCCUGGGUGGAUCG